UGUUCCUACGGGGGGCAGCAGUGGGGAAUAUUGCACAAUGGGGGAAACCCUGAUGCAGCGACGCCGCGUGGGCGAGGAAGUACCUCGGUAUGUAAAGCCCUAUCAGCAGGGAAGAAACAGGACAGUACCUGACUAAGAAGCCCCGGCUAACUACGUGCCAGCAGCCGCGGUAAUACGUAGGGGGCAAGCGUUAUCCGGAUUUACUGGGUGUAAAGGGAGCGUAGACGGUUAUGUAAGUCUGGAGUGAAAGCCCGGGGCCCAACCCCGGGACUGCUUUGGAAACUGUGUAACUGGAGUACAGGAGG
rnacentral:rRNA from 1 species